rnacentral:rRNA from 1 species
GAUGAACGCUAGCGGCAGGCUUAAUACAUGCAAGUCGAACGGGAUUCGGGGUAGCAAUACUUUGAUGAGAGUGGCGCACGGGUGCGUAACGCGUAUGCAACCUACCUUUAACAGGGGAAUAGCCCCGAGAAAUCGGGAUUAAUACUCCGUAACAUUGCGGUGUGGCAUCACACUGCAAUUAAAGAUUUAUCGGUUAAAGAUGGGCAUGCGUGACAUUAGCUAGUUGGUGAGGUAACGGCUCACCAAGGCAACGAUGUCUAGGGGUCCUGAGAGGGUUAUCCCCCACACUGGUACUGAGACACGGACCAGACUCCUACGGGAGGCAGCAGUAAGGAAUAUUGGUCAAUGGGCGCAAGCCUGAACCAGCCAUGCCGCGUGCAGGAAGACGGCCCUAUGGGUUGUAAACUGCUUUUAUCAGGGAAUAAACCCCGCUCGUGAGCGGGGCUGAAGGUACCUGAAGAAUAAGCAUCGGCUAACUCCGUGCCAGCAGCCGCGGUAAA